GACGAACGCUGGCGGCGUGCUUAACACAUGCAAGUCGAACGGAAAGGCCCUGCUUUUGUGGGGUUCUCGAUUGGCGAACGGGUGAGUAACACGUGAGUAACCUGCCCUUGACUUUGGGAUAACUUCAGGAAACUGGGGCUAAUACCGGAUAGGAGCUCCUGCUGCAUGGUGGGGGUUGGAAAGUUUCGGCGGUUGUGGAUGGACUCGCGGCUUAUCAGCUUGUUGGUGGGGUAGUGGCUUACCAAGGCUUUGACGGGUAGCCGGCCUGAGAGGGUGACCGGGCACAUUGGGACUGAGAUACGGCCCAGACUCCUACGGGAGGCAGCAGUGGGGAAUAUUGCACAAUGGGCGGAAGCGUGAUGCAGCAACGCCGCGUGCGGGAUGACGGCCUUCGGGUUGUAAACAGCUUUCGCCUGUGACGAAGCGUGAGUGACGGUAAUGAGUAAAGAAGCACCGGCUAACUACGUG
rnacentral:rRNA from 1 species